rnacentral:rRNA from 1 species
UACAGAGGUCCCAAGCGUUGUUCGGAUUCAUUGGGCGUAAAGGGUGCGUAGGCGGCGCGGUAAGUCGGGUGUGAAAUCUCGGAGCUUAACUCCGAAACUGCAUUCGAUACUGCCGUGCUUGAGGACUGGAGAGGAGACUGGAAUUUACGGUGUAGCGGCGAAAUGCGUAGAUAUCGUAAGGAAGACCAGUGGCGAAGGCGGGUCUCUGGACAGUUCCUGACGCUGAGGCACGAAGGCCAGGGGAGCAAACGGG